rfam:Pseudobutyrivibrio xylanivorans DSM 14809 genome assembly, contig: EJ90DRAFT_scaffold00042.42
UAACAUGAGAGUUUGAUCCUGGCUCAGGAUGAACGCUGGCGGCGUGCUUAACACAUGCAAGUCGAACGAAGCAACUUAUCACGAUCCCUUCGGGGGUGACGAUUUGUUGACUGAGUGGCGGACGGGUGAGUAACGCGUGGGUAACCUGCCUUGUACAGGGGGACAACAGUUGGAAACGACUGCUAAUACCGCAUAAGCGCACAGCUUCGCAUGAUGUAGUGUGAAAAGUUUUUUCGGUACAAGAUGGACCCGCGUCUGAUUAGCUAGUUGGUGAGGUAACGGCCCACCAAGGCGACGAUCAGUAGCCGACCUGAGAGGGUGACCGGCCACAUUGGGACUGAGACACGGCCCAAACUCCUACGGGAGGCAGCAGUGGGGAAUAUUGCACAAUGGGCGCAAGCCUGAUGCAGCGACGCCGCGUGAGCGAAGAAGUAUUUCGGU